rnacentral:snRNA from 1 species
GUGCUUGCUUCAGCAGCACAUAUACUAAAAUUGGAACAAUACAGAGAAAAUCAGCAUGGCCCCUGAGCAAGGAUGACACACAAAUUCGUGAAGCGUUCCAUAAAAAA